UACGGAGGGAGCUAGCGUUGUUCGGAAUUACUGGGCGUAAAGCGCGCGUAGGCGGUUUUUUAAGUCAGAGGUGAAAGCCCAGUGCUCAACACUGGAACUGCCUUUGAAACUGGAAAACUUGAAUCUUGGAGAGGUCAGUGGAAUUCCGAGUGUAGAGGUGAAAAUUCGUAGAUAUUCGGAAGAACACCAGUGGCGAAGGCGACUGACUGGCCGAGACCUGACGCUGAGACGCGACGGCGUGGGGAGCAAACCGG
rnacentral:rRNA from 1 species